UGGGAGACAGGGCCCAGCUUGG
rnacentral:misc_RNA from 1 species